GGCAGACGCGCGCACCCGCACCCGCACCCGCACCCGCAGGCGCGCACACGGGUGUUUGGGCCGUGUAUCCCCCUACCCACUCCCCUCCUUCCUUCGAACGGCUUCAACCCAAACCUUAAAAUUAAAGCCAUCCCCAAAUUUGGUCUUGGGGAUCUUGCUGGCUGUCGGAUUUCGGUGCAGCGUUCCCUCCCCCGCGCUGCUGCUGCUGCCGCUUAAGGACAGUUACUUGCCCCGGGAGGGAACGGUCAAGUGGAAGCUGUGUGUGGGCGUGCGUGUGUGUGCGCGCGUGUGUGCGCGUGUGGCUUCUUUGGGGCACAUGCACACCCCGCCGUAGCCUCCGGAUCGGCAGUCCCGCCGCCGGGGCUUGUCCCUGCCAGCCAAGGACUCCACAAGGAGGGAGUCCCCGGUCCCCGGCAGGGCAGCCUGCGAGCGGCUUCGGUGCUGGGCACGCUCGGGGCGGAGGAAGCCCGGCGAGGAGCGGGGUCCUCCCACGGAGGGGCCGGAGCUGCCCCCCGCCGCGCCCCCCGCCCGGCCCCCGCGCCCCCAGACCCGCCCCCCCCCCCCCCCGUGCUCUGCGCACCCGACUCCGGGAGGCGGAGGGAGGGGCGCGGCGCCCUCCCGGGCCGCGAGCGGUCACGGAAUCUGACACCCGGACAGGCAGCUGGUCCCCGGCCAGGACGCCCCGCGCCUUCUCAAAUGGAAACAGUCUCUCCCAGGGAACCUGCCCGAAUUCCCGGUGGAAUCUCACCUGAGCUUUGGCUCCUGGCGCAUUUCACCCAGGCCGCAUCUACCAUCACUUCGAGGCAAGGAAGGCCCCCGAUGGAGCGGGGCUCUUGGUGGCCGAACAAGGUUUAUGAAAUUUUCAGAAAUUCAAAUUAGCCUGAAGGAAGUUCAUGAAAGUCUAA
rnacentral:lncRNA from 1 species